UGGGGAAUCUUGCACAAUGGGGGCAACCCUGAUGCAGCGACGCCGCGUGAGUGAUGAAGCCCUUCGGGGCGUAAAGCUCUUUCGACCGGAACGAUAAUGACGGUACCGGGAGAAGAAGCUGCGGCUAACUACGUGCCAGCAGCCGCGGUAAUACGUAGGCAGCAAGCGUUGUUCGGAGUUACUGGGCGUAAAGAGUACGUAGGCGGUUUUCUAAGUUCGGUGUGAAAUCUCCCGGCUUAACUGGGAGGGUGCGCCGAAGACUGGGAAGCUGGAGUGUGGGAAAGGCAGGCGGAAUUCCUGGUGUAGCGGUGAAAUGCGUAGAUAUCAGGAGGAACACCGGCGGUGUAGACGGCUUGCUAGACCAUAACUGACGCUGAGGCACGAAAGCGUGGGUAGCAAACA
rnacentral:rRNA from 1 species